AUACGGAGGGUCCAAGCGUUAUCCGGAAUCAUUGGGUUUAAAGGGUCCGUAGGCGGACUAUUAAGUCAGAGGUGAAAUCCCACAGCUCAACUGUGGAACUGCCUUUGAUACUGGUAGUCUUGAGUUAUAUGGAAGUAGAUAGAAUGUGUAGUGUAGCGGUGAAAUGCAUAGAUAUUACACAGAAUACCGAUUGCGAAGGCAGUCUACUACGUAUAUACUGACGCUAAGGGACGAAAGCGUGGGGAGCGAACAGGAUUAGAAACCCCGGUAGUCC
rnacentral:rRNA from 1 species